rnacentral:rRNA from 1 species
CCAGACUCCUACGGGAGGCAGCAGUGGGGGAUAUUGCACAAUGGGGGGAACCCUGAUGCAGCGACGCCGCGUGGGUGAAGGAGUGCUUCGGCAUGUAAAGCCCUAUCGGCAGGGAAGAAGCAAGACGGUACCUGACUAAGAAGCCCCGGCUAACUACGUGCCAGCAGCCGCGGUAAUACGUGGGGGGCGAGCGUUAUCCGGGUUCACUGGGUGUAAAGGGAGCGUAGACGGCCAUGCAAGCCAGGGGUGAAAGCCCGGGGCCCAACCCCGGGACUGCCCUUGGAACUGCAUGGCUGGAGUGCGGGAGGGGCAGGCGGAAUUCCUGGUGUAGCGGUGAAAUGCGUAGAUAUUAGGAGGAACACCAGUGGCGAAGGCGGCCUGCUGGACGACAACUGACGGUGAGGCGCGAAAGCGUGGGGAGCAAACAGGAUUAGAUACCCUAGUAA